GUCCACGCCGUAAACGAUGUGUGCUUGUCGCUGGGGAGUUCACUCUUCGGUGACGCAGCUAACGCGUUAAGCACACCGCCUGGGAAGUACGGCCGCAAGGUUAAAAACUCAAAAGGAAUUGACGGGGACCCGCACAAGCGGUGGAGUAUGUGGUUUAAUUCGUCGCAACGCGAAGAACCUUACCAGGCCUUGACAUGCCCUCUAUGAGCUAGAGAGAUCUAGUUCUUCACUUCGGGUGGAGGGACACAGGUGCUGCAUGGCUGUCGU
rnacentral:rRNA from 1 species